CCGCUCUUCAACAAUUUUGGGAAACGAAAUAUUAAUUAGCGAUUGUAGUGAUGACUCGGCAAAAUUUGCCCUGAUCACUCGGCAAAAUUUACUUACAUCUCCCCCCAUUGAAAGAGGUCUAGCGACGCCUCUGAAUAUAGGAAGUUGAUUCCACAGGAUAGGCACUAGUACAGAGAAUGCCCUAUCACCAUACGUCUUUAACCUGAAGCGAGGCUCCACAAUUAGGACUUCCUGAUCACUAUAGAUCUAAGAUUUCUCGAAUAUGUGCGGAGCUUUAAUAGUAAUUCGGUGAUAUAGCAGGAUGCUAUGCCAUGAAGGCCUUUAUAGACAAAAAGCAGUAUCUUAACACUACCUGUAUUUCGAUAAUUUACAGUAGCCAAUAAAGCUUAAACAUAACUGGAGUAAUAUAAUGGUCAUCUUGCAUAUAGUUAAUGCAACUAGAUAUACGCGCGGCAGUAUUUUGUACAGAUUGCAGGCUAUAAUCGUUGAUCUAUAGCAGCCUGUACACAGAUAUGGGAGAGUGAUAAAUAUUAUAGUAAUUUUAAUUACACCUCAGACUGGUCAAUAUAACCUCAACACUUCUAGAUCUUCAAUUAAAUUUUCCCAGUUUAUUACCCUUUAAUUGGCAAAUAGCCAAAUACUGAAAAAUCGUGAUAAAAAAUAUUUUUCAUAUAAU